rnacentral:lncRNA from 1 species
GGGACCUCAGGAUCCCUGAGAGCAGGACAUUCUGGAUCAUGGGGUGCCUUCAUUCAGAGGUCCUCAGACCAGGGGUAUCCCAUGUUUUUGUAAACUUGAGGGACCCAAGAGAGAAAGGAGUCACAAGCCACAGUUCUUGCCACAGGAAGACUCGAUAAAAACAGAUUAUUUUGUUUGCUUUUAGCCCUGGGGCAGGAACUGCAGGUAGGGAUAGGGGAACACACCCAAGCUCUGUUGAUCCUGGUGUGACUCGGAAGAAGAACCAGGACAGAGAAUCUCGGCUGGAAGUCUUUUAUUCUUUUAACUUGAAAGAGGACAUGUUGAACCCGCCCCUUACGCUCAGGUAGCUCAGGUGGCUGUGACCCAGCCUGUUGGGAAAAGUCAGCUCGUGCCCAUCUGGCAGCUUCACCUUGAAUUUGUCACUCUCAAAGGUCACUGUGAACUGUGGGGAGGGAGGGUGUCAAGGAGGCAGGAGGCCCUGGAAAUGGGCCAGGGCAGUGCCUGAUGGCUCAAACAAGGCCAGCACCUGUGUCCAGGCCAGGCUCUCUUCCAUCUGGGCCCUCCCCUUGACAUCACCCCAGUGCCCUUUCCCCCUUUGACCUCACCUUGACCUCUGACCCUGGGCUGAAGCACAGGUGAUCUUCCCGUUGUUCUUGCCCCCAGUUGCUGCCGUCCAAUGAGUUGCAGACAAUGGUGGAUUCGCUGAAGCGAGGGUUGAAAUGCAGGUUCAGCUUGUCUGUCCCCUGGCCCAGAUUAAUUACAAAGCUGCAGGAGAAGGGGUAGCAGGUGAGGUUCAGGGCUCAGGCCUGGAUAAAGCAGCUUGGGUUGGAGGACCUUGGUUGACCACAAGCUGGAAGAAUCAAAGCUUGUGUUAGUUGAGAUCUGUGCCUUAAAACAAGGGAGGUAACAACCUGCUCAGACUUAGCACUGUGGUAGCACAUUCCAUUUGGAGCAGGGAUCACGCUGUUGAGAGAAGGGUAACUGAUAGUGACAGCUUCGGGAAUUGGGGGUGGC